UCUUACGAAUGAGCAAAAAAAGUGAUUUCUUGAGACAGAAUCUAGUCCUGGUGAAAAUGCUGUGAA
rnacentral:pre_miRNA from 1 species